CCUUUGAAUAACAUGUGAUGCUGUGCUCUGCUUUAUCAAUCAAUCCGUUUAUAUUUGUGGAGGAAAUGGAAAGGGAAGGAGUUAGGACCUAGGGAAGGAGUCAAGGAAAUAGGAACCAAUAAUGAAGCCAUGCUUUACUGACAUCUGUUAGUGAAAAGCAGCGCGCUCAGUCUUCGUGAUGUGAACACACCCCUUGUCUGUAAUGCGGUAGGCUAUACUUCCUGGUGAAUUAAGUAGUUUCUUCUAAAGAACGUUGACUUACAACUUCGUUUUCAGAUAAAGACGUAUGGUAUAGUAUCACGCAAUUUACUCAAGCUCCUAAAAAACUAAGAAAACAGGGUAAUUAGUCUGAAAAUGGGAAGCACCGUGAUGGAGUCCAACAAGAAGGAUAUGAAAACCUCGAAGAAAAAGAGGACACUACGCCUAAACAUGCCAGACGUAAGUGCAUUCGCCUUCCCCAUACUGGACGGCAAGUCUGGAGGCUCGGGCAAGGAUGGCUAUCCAAAUGUAAAUUGUCUUUUCUUCAUACUCGUGGUUACACACAAUUAAGUUAUUCUUGACUGACAGCAUUGCGCUUCUCACCUUUACCCUUAAUUUUAAAGGCCCAGUGUGGUCCAAAACAUGAUGUUCCUGUGCUUUAUAUAUAUUUCCACACUUUGAUGUUGGAAUAAUACUGUGAAUUUUGGAAAAUUAUGAUAAUGCCCUUUUAGUGUAAGAUCUGUUUUGAAAUUUCAGCCUGUUUUGGUGGGAUGGAGUUCUGGCCUGCCUGUUGACAUCAGCAGAUGGUAAAUUAGUUAAUAGACCAAUUAAGAAAGAGUUCUAAACCUCUGCCAAUAACAGCUAGUUUUCAGUUUUCCCCUCCACUCAGACCACUUCCAAACAGUCUGAUCAAAUUCUUGCUUGAGAAAUUGCUCUUUGCUAAGAAGCUAUUUUUGUUUUUCUUUGACCAUUUUAAUUGAAAACAAUCACAGUAAGGUAUUUGUUACCCAGAAAUUAUUUGAUAUUGAAAUAAAAACUGCUGCACUGGACUCUUUUUAAUAGUUUUAAGUUAUCUGAGCACUGUGUUUGGACACAGGCAGUGUGACAGACAUUGUUCCGGAGCCCUCUGAUGUCAUGAAAAGCGCUGAGUGGAUGGAGUGCCGUGGUACUUCUAGUUGGGUGGGUAGACGUCUGAUGAUGAUCCAUGGAAAUCGAUGUCACAUGACAGUGAGUUUGUAGACGUAGUCGUCUCUCUGGACAUAAUGAAGAUUGCUCUGCUCAGUAGCAGGAGCUCAGCAUUAUACUGAGACAUGGGUGUUUAAAAUAGUAGAACGCAUGCUAAGUUUCAAAGACUGGUUAUCAGCGAUGUAGGGCUAUCCCGUCUAAUUAAAAUCUUGGUCGCCUGAAAGUCGUCUGUUUUUUGUUGUUGACCAAUCUAUUUCUCAAAAUGUUUAAACGGAUUUUCUCCGUAUAUGGACACACCCUAUGUGUUUUAAUAAAAUCAACUAUAUGCAUUGAGCUUAUCUGAUCCUUUAAGCUUACGGUUUGAUUCCUCGAGGGCGCCAGAGAUCUAGAUAAUCAGAAGAAAAAAAAACAUUAACCUGACCCAACUAUUCUCUUAACGCUCCUACUGGCUUUUGCAGAUUCUGCUAUUACUCUCCUGAAGUUGCCAGUAAUGGGCUACACGAGGAGUCGGCAACCGUUCUCAUGUGGAAUGCCAAUUUAUCUUAAUUUCUACCGAUCUGCGUGCCAGAUAUGGUUUUGAUAUGCACAUUUUCGUGAAACAGUUUCCUUAAAUUUACAAUAAUGUCUUCAUAUCUCAAUCAUUGUCAUGUGGUUAAUCACAUCUCUAUCCAGCACCUCAAAUGUUCUACUGCUUGAGCUCCAUUUCCUCUUUAUAGAAUAUUUUCUCAAAAGUAUUGUGGAGCUCCUGCACCUAAAUAUAAACAGUACCAGCACCCAAAAUGAGUCCCAGAACCUAUUUCAGUCCAAGUCAAGCACUGAUAAGAAGCCUAUUUUAUGACAUUUCCAUUGGAUCAGAGCUUGACAUUUUUAACCUUCAUGCUGAGUGGUUAUCGAAAGGGAGAAAGCUGGGAAAAAAAUACUUUGAACUUUUGUAAUUCUCAAUGGAUGUAAAAACAGACUUUGUUUGCUUGCUGUUUCAGGUGAAGAAACAUUACUUUGAGAAGCUCCACAGGUCAUUAGUGGUGAUGCGUUAAGCCAAUCAGAAAUACUAUCAGAUCCCCAAAUGGGCACAUCCCCAAAUGGGCACAUUUGCGCGCAGGCCAGAUAGCCUAUAGGCCUACUUCUAAACUCAGCAAAAAAAAGAAACGUCCUCACUGUCAAUGUCUUUAUAUUCAGCAAACUUAACAUGUGUAAAUAUUUGUAUGAACAUAAAAAGAUUAAACAACUGAGACAUAAACUGAACAAGUUCCACAGUCAUGUGACUAACAUAAAUUGAAUAAUCUGUCCCUGAACAAAGGGAGGGUUCAAAAUCAAAAGUAAUAGUCAGUAUCUGGUGUGGCCACCAGCUGCAAUAA
rnacentral:lncRNA from 8 species